rnacentral:rRNA from 1 species
UAUUGGACAAUGGGGGAAACCCUGAUCCAGCGACGCCGCGUGAGUGAAGAAGUAUUUCGGUAUGUAAAGCUCUAUCAGCAGGGAAGAAAGAAAUGACGGUACCUGACCAAGAAGCCCCGGCUAACUACGUGCCACCAGCCGCGGUAAUACGUAGGGGGCAAGCGUUAUCCGGAUUUACUGGGUGUAAAGGGAGCGUAGACGGCAAUGCAAGUCAGAUGUGAAAGCCCGGGGCUCAACCGCGGGACUGCAUUUGAAACUGUGAUGCUGGAGUGCAGGAGAGGUAAGUGGAAUUCCUAGUGUAGCGGUGAAAUGCGUAGAUAUUAGGAGGAACACCAGUGGCGAAGGCGGCUUACUGGACUGUAACUGACGUUGAGGCUCGAAAGCGUGGGGAGCAAACAGG